rnacentral:rRNA from 1 species
UACGAAGGGGGCUCGCGUUGUUCAGAAUUACUGGGCGUAAAGGGCGCGUAGGCGGUCCUUCAAGUCAGAUGUGAAAGCCCUGGGCUUAACCUAGGAGGUGCAUUUGAUACUGGAGGACUUGAGAUCGAGAGAGGAGAAUAGAAUUGCGAGUGUAGAGGUGAAAUUCGUAGAUAUUCGCAAGAACACCGGUGGCGAAGGCGAUUCUCUGGUUCGAUACUGACGCUAAGGCGCGAAAGCGUGGGGAGCAAACAGG